UACGUAGGGCGCAAGCGUUGUCCGGAAUUAUUGGGCGUAAAGAGCUCGUAGGCGGUUUGUCGCGUCUGCCGUGAAAGUCCGGGGCUCAACUCCGGAUCUGCGGUGGGUACGGGCAGACUAGAGUGAUGUAGGGGAGACUGGAAUUCCUGGUGUAGCGGUGAAAUGCGCAGAUAUCAGGAGGAACACCGAUGGCGAAGGCAGCUCGCUGGGACGGUACUGACGCUGAGGCGCGAAAGCGUGGGGAGCAAACAGG
rnacentral:rRNA from 1 species